GGAUGUGAGGGCGAUCUGGCUGCGACAUCUGUCACCCCAAUGAUCGCCAGGGUUGAUUCAGCUGAUCUGGCUGGCUAGGCGGGUGUCCCCUUCCUCACUGCUCCAUGUGCGUCCCUCGUGAAGCUGCGGGCUCGGUCGAAGAGAACGACCUUCCCCGAUAGAGGAAGAUCGUUCUUGGUCAAGGGUAUACGAGUAGCUGCGCUCCCCUGCUAGAACCUCCAAAGAAGCUCUCAAGUUAGUGUUUCAAUUCCUUUGGACAUAUUUCCCAAAAUGGAUUGCUGGGUCAUAUAGUAAAUCUAUUUUUAAUUUUUU
ensembl:misc_RNA 7SK 7SK RNA